rnacentral:lncRNA from 10 species
GCCAUGGAGCAUGAGUGCUGGGUCACAUGGGUCAACUGGAAGUGUCCAGAGGAAUGACAGAGGACUCAAGAAUACAGCACAUGAAAAAUGGUUGGAAGUACCACGGCUGUCUGCUUGGAGAAGGAAAGCGUGGGAGAGAGCUGCUUCAAAUAGUGAUCUUCUGCAGAGGACGCUGGCAGCUCUGCAUGCACAGGACAGCUGAACCUGGGCUGCAGGAGGCCACCUGCUGAACCCAGGUCUCAGCUCAGUGCGGGAAUAAACUCCUGUAACUCAGCAUGGUCCCCAUUUAGUGUGGGCUGCCUGGGCAAGCAUGAGCUCCGGGAGAGUUGGAAAUCUGCUUGGCAAGGAGGUACUAGAGACAUUUCUGAGAUGGCUUCACCUUGAGGGCACGUCCCUUGAGAGUCUAAAAUGUAUAAGAAUGUCAAGCUAUUGGCUUGUGCUUUAAUUGAGAUUAGCUGGCAGCUAACUCAGAAUAAGUUGCCUGCUUCACAAUUUUGGCCUGAUUGAGGGUUGGCCUUGCUUCUAAAUGUUUUUAUCACACC